GCGCGGGUAAACGGCGGGAGUAA
rnacentral:ncRNA from 2 species